rnacentral:rRNA from 1 species
AUGAACGCUGGCGGCGUGCCUAAUACAUGCAAGUCGCGCGAACGGACGAGAAGCUUGCUUCUCUGAUGUUAGCGGCGGACGGGUGAGUAACGCGUGGAUAACCUACCUAUAAGACUGGGAUAACUUCGGGAAACCGGAGCUAAUACCGGAUAAUAUUUUGAACCGCAUGGUUCAAAAGUGAAAGACGGUCUUGCUGUCACUUAUAGAUGGAUCCGCGCUGCAUUAGCUAGUUGGUAAGGUAACGGCUUACCAAGGCAACGAUGCAUAGCCGACCUGAGAGGGUGAUCGGCCACACUGGAACUGAGACACGGUCCAGACUCCUACGGGAGGCAGCAGUAGGGAAUCUUCCGCAAUGGGCGAAAGCCUGACGGAGCAACGCCGCGUGAGUGAUGAAGGUCUUCGGAUCGUAAAACUCUGUUAUUAGGGAAGAACAUAUGUGUAAGUAACUGUGCACAUCUUGACGGUACCUAAUCAGAAAGCCACGGCUAACUACGUG